AAUCCCAUUUAUUUGCUUCCAUGCUUUGUCAGUGGUAUGAGGAGUUAUACGCAUGGGAAAGACUACAAUAAAGUUCCCUGCAAAUUAGAGAUGAAAAUAUCAGUGUUUCAUCUCUCUUGCUGGGGCUGGACAGCU
rnacentral:snoRNA from 1 species